rnacentral:lncRNA from 1 species
GUCGAGGACACGGUGGCGGCCCUCGAAGCAGAAGGGCAAGGAGGCGAAGCAGCCCGGUGGCCCUUGGGGCAGAAGGGCAAGGAGGCAAGGUGGAGAGUCAGGACUGGGACAGGCAAGGGUCAGCUGACGGAGAAGCAUGCUUUCCGGAAACGUCUGAAGAGAUUCGUGAUGAUUAAUCUCUUUCUGAUGGCUGGCAUCGCAGUGUUGUGCGCCCUGUAUUACUUAAAAUUAAAAGGUAUUUCAGAUGAAAUGGAGGCCAUGAAGAACAUCAGACAAUUUAUGGGCACUAGAGAUUCAUCUUAUAAUGACAAGAAUGAUACAGAGGUUCUCUACGGUGCUAAACUCUUGGCAGAAGUAGUGGAGGAUAUCCAUGCAGCAACCAUCGUAGCAGAAGAUGCGAUUGAGGAUGCCAUUAAAAAGCUGAACGAAGGCUGGAAAGCCCACAGGGGCUACCUGUAUUUCCUCAGCCAUACCCCGAUGCGGUUUGAUGAAGCACGAAGGCAGUGUGAGUCCAUAAAGACCACCUUGGCUUCAGUUCCCACGGCUGACGUGGAGGAAUUUGUAGAGACACUAGCCAAGACAACUAGAAGAGGCAUGUGGAUUGGGCUCCAGCUUUCCCUAUCAAAGUGGGAAUGGGUUGACCAUACACCAUUUAACCAAAGCUUCUGGAAGCCAGGUUCCCCGGGGACUAGCGGUCCCAUACAUAAAGAAUGUGCAGAAAUUUUGAAGGAUUGCUCUACCCCAGGGACCUGCUGGAGUGAUGUCUCCUGUGAUGAGAAAAAGAGUGCGCUGUGCAGGAUGGUACCAAUGGAAGAUCUGGUCUUUUAAGGCCUAGAUUCUGCCACCUCUAUAGGGAGAAUGUGAGAAGCCCCAUUUCUCCAGAGGCUGAAUCAGUCUACUGGCCCUGGCUGAGACACAGCACCCAACAAAGCUCCUCUCUAUGGCUUCUAGACCUCGUAGACUCUGCAAGGAGACCAGGAGACCUUAUUUUGGACCCCUCAAAGAAAGAAAUGGACACAAGAAAUAAAACCUGGA